AAACAUGGUUUUUGUAAAGGGAAAUUAUGCCUCAUCAAUCUACAAGAAUUCUUAGAGGGGGUCAACAACCAGGUGGACAAGGGGGAAUCAGAGGAUAUAGUGUACUAAGAUUUUCAGAAAGCCUUUGACAAGGUUCCUCAC